GGAGACCAGGUAACAGCUGGAACUAUAACCUUUACAGUAAGCUGUAGUGCUUAUGGUGCUUGGUGUGUUCUUUUAGAACCCUUCACCGAAAGAUUGCACGUAUUUCAUUGGGUAGCGAAAGAUUGCACGUCUUAUUUCUUGUGAGAUGACUAACUAGGUUUCGUAUAAUCCCUGUGUGUUCCGCACUCCUUUGGUCAUCCGUUUGUGGUUACACUGGCGUAUGGACUGUAUUGGUGUGUCACCUGGAUGUUUAUUAAUGUUUCGGUACAGGUUGGGUGAGGACGAUGACUUUCAAUUAGCUGUCUAGUUAUGUGUGCGCUUGUGAGUUGUUGGUGCCAGCAUCUAUGAUCUUCUACUGCCAACUCACCUAUUGUCCUUAUUUUGUUAAUCCC